UACGUAGGUGGCAAGCGUUGUCCGGAUUUAUUGGGUUUAAAGGGUGCGUAGGCGGCCUAUUAAGUCAGGGGUGAAAGACGGUGGCUCAACCAUCGCAGUGCCUUUGAUACUGAUAGGCUUGAUUACACUAGAGGUAGGCGGAAUGUGACAAGUAGCGGUGAAAUGCAUAGAUAUGUCACAGAACACCAAUUGCGAAGGCAGCUUACUAUGGUGUCAAUGACGCUGAGGCACGAAAGCGUGGGGAUCAAACAGG
rnacentral:rRNA from 1 species